rnacentral:pre_miRNA from 1 species
UACAUACUCCCUCCGUUCGGAAUUACUCAUCCAAGAAAUGAAUGUAUCUAGAUGUAUUUUAGUUGUAGAUACAUCCAUUUUUGUGACAAGUAAUUCCGGACGGAGGGAGUACUAC